rnacentral:rRNA from 1 species
GACGAACCGUGCGAACGUUAUUCGGAAUCAUUGGGCUUAAAGGGCGCGUAGGCGGCGGCGUAAGUUGGAAGUGAAAUCCCAUCGGCUCAACCGUGGAAUCGCUCCCAGUACUGCGUCGCUCGAGGGGGAUAGGGGUCUGCGGAACUACCGGUGGAGCGGUGAAAUGCGUUGAUAUCCUAAGGAACACCGGUGGCGAAAGCGGCUCACUGGAUCUCUUCUGACGCUGAGGCACGAAAGCUAGGUAGCGAACGGG